rnacentral:rRNA from 1 species
AUGGCGGCGGAGGGGGAGGAAAAGAAGAAGAUGGUGAUGUUGCGGAGCGAGGACGAAGUGGACUUCGUCCUGUCAGACUCCGAGGCCGUGGCCCAUUGCGGCAGGAAAAGCAAAAUAAUGAUGAAGUACGACUUCGAGAACCACAUCAUCCCUUCCGACGACGGCGGCGAAAUCAAGUACUGCCUCAUCCGCCUCUCCGUCCGAGGCGACACACUUUCCAAGGUGAUAGACUACUCCAAGAUGCACGCCUCCGGAUCCCACGACUUGAGCGACUGGGAUGCGGAGUUCAUCGCUGGUUUCAACCACGAGGCCCUCUUCCAUCUCAUCCUGGUGAGUACGCUUCGGAAUAUCUUCAAAUAA